rnacentral:rRNA from 1 species
UGGGGAAUAUUGCACAAUGGGGGAAACCCUGAUGCAGCAACGCCGCGUGGGUGAAGAAGUAUUUCGGUAUGUAAAGCCCUAUCAGCAGGGAAGAGAAUGACGGUACCUGACUAAGAAGCCCCGGCUAACUACGUGCC